AUUCCCGCUUCCCGCAUCCGGAAAUGUAAUCAUGUCCAUUUCCCGCACCGUUUUUUUUUUGUUUUAUAAAAAAUAUCAACAUUUGUUUUUAAAAUCACAUUCUAACCUGUAUAUAAUGAUUUUAAACAUAAAAGCACCCCUCCACACUUUGUAAAUAUCUGUGAGAAUAUUUGUUUCAGCAUGAAACAUAUUUAUCUAAAGCGGGAGUGCUCCGAUAUAAAUUUAUAACAGCGGGA
rnacentral:lncRNA from 1 species